GCUCUAUAGGAGGGAGAGGAAAGCAACCAUGGCUGCCUGACUGCAGCGGCCAUGAGGAGACCGACAGUGCUUCUCUGUUAAGGACUGUGCAGUGUCAGCAUAUUGAGAGCCAUUCAGCUAGCAGGCUAUGGUCAAAGAAAGAGAUGUGGUAACAGAAGCAGCGUUAGAGAGUUGCUACAUCACUGGCUCUGAAGGUGGAAGAAAGAGGCCACAAGCCGAAGCAUGUGGAUGACCUCUCCAAGCUGAAAAGAUGAGGAACCUCUGCUGUCUUCUAAAUGGUGGUAUUUCUAAGAAAUGUCUGAGAUCAUGACAGACUUGCCAAGACAAGAACCCCACCAUUUUGGAGCUUUUUUUUAAAGAACCAAACCUGAGAGAAUUCUCGGAGGAGCUUCAAGAUGGUGGAGGAGUAGGAUGUGGCGAUCACCUUCCUCCCCACAAAUACAUCAGAAAUACAUCUACAUGUGGAACACUCCUACAGAACACCUACUGAACGCUGGCAGAAGACCUCAGACCUCCCAAAAGUAUUUGGACUGUUGUUCUGCAUACAGAGCAGAAAAGUACAUCAAGCUGCUUUUCAGUUUCUAUGGAAAGGUGCCUCCACCCUCUCUUUCAACUUGAGAUCCGGACACGUCUGUCUUCAGAGGCAAGU